ensembl:lincRNA
GUAGGGGCGGGGGAGGGUGCAUUUAGAAAGACCGAAAGUGGCCAAGAUGGGAUCAGAGCCCAGGUCUCUGAGUCCAAAUCCUGAAACCUUGAGGCCCCAGGUGAAGGAUGCAGGCAGCGCUCUCUAGGCCUCAGCAUUCCAGGUCUUCAAGUGGGGCAGUUCACACCUGCUGCCUCCCUCUCAGGAUGAAGGAAGAGACAAGAGGUGCCAAGCAUCUGUUCUUGUGUGGAGUGCUGAAUCACCGCCUGCCUGGUGCCCUGCAUCUCACAAAACCCCUGGGAGGCAGCACCCACAUUCUCUCCAUCGUACAGUCAAGGAAAUAGAAGCUGUACCAUCACAGAGAUGGGAUUCCAGCCUGAUCACAAAACCCAAGUGGCCAUAUCACUGUGCCCUGGUUGGAGCUGUUGGGUAAGAGAAAUGUAAACUCUGUGGAUGAAUUAUCUACUCCCAAAGAAAGUGAGGCUUUUCCCGGCAGUUGGUUCCAGCAGGUCGCUGCCCAGAGCGCCCUGGAGCACCUGCCACAGCUUGGGGACCAGCGCAGGGACAGUGAGGCCCAGCCGGAGGCAAGAGCCCUGGGGAGACGGCCCUGUGACCCAGGCAGGGGUGUGGGGGCCAGCUGCUGCGAGGCCAGAGGCUUCCCUUCAUCCAGGAAGCAGGGGCCAGGACCAGCACUGUGCUCUGGAUGGAUUUCGCACCAGAGGGGCUAAAAGCAAAGACACUUUGGUGUGUGGACAAGGCACCAGUGGCUGUCUCCCAGCUAGGCCAGGAGGCUGCGGGGACACAUGAGAAGCCGGGCCUGCUGUGGCUCAGAACUUGAGCUGUCCCGGACGAUGCGGAGGUGCUGUCAGCCCGUGGGAACAGGUGCAGCAGUUGGAGGUGAGAGCAUGCGCUUCCCUGGAACAGGCCCAGAAAACGAGGCCUGGAAAAGGGACUGUGCCAGGGUCCCAGGCCGGGUGUGCCACACAGAGCCCUCGGCGAUUGGGACACCAGGUCUGUGCUAUUCGGAGAUGUCCCAAGACUCUGCUCUCUGCUGAGCCCAUGUGGCCCUCGGGGUAAAUGCCCAGGGGCUGCUGAGGGCAUAGUUCUUGGGGCUGGCUCAGCUCCCUCUCCAGACCUGUGUGGACACCCACUCCCUCCCUCCAGCAGGGGCCGCUGUGGGCUCAGGGCAGUGCUGUGCUUCCCAGCUGGGCUGGGCCCAGGGAAAUGGGCUCCCCUGGGAAAUGCUGGAACAGCCAGGGUGUCUGGCUGGGGUCCCCUCUGAGCCUGUGUUCCCAGAAAAUAGGGGCAGUUAAGAAGCUUCACAGGGGACUUUGCUAGCACCAGUGAUUAGACUCUGAGCUGCUAGUGCUGGGGGUAUGGAUUUGAUUCCUGGUUGGGGAAGAUCCCAUAUGCCAUGUGACAUGGCCAAAAAAAACCCCAAAACAAGAAGCUGGACAAAUCUCUUGUUUUUCGAAACAUCUUGGGAGACAGUAUGCUGCAAAGACUUCCCCGAAUGAUGUAGAUGAAGUUGGUCCACCCUUCCUCAGCAACCCCAUAAGACCCCUAGAUACUUCCCGGGUUACUUGUCACCAGGCCAGACUUUGCUCCUCCAGCUCCUGGUUCUUUGUCUCAAGCUCAAUAAGCUGAAAUGGGACUCUUUGUUCCCCUGAAACUAGCAACAGAGAAAAACAUUCUCUAUUCAGCUGACUGAGAGUGCUCUUACGGCCAAACAGCUGGAGACCAACCAUUUGUCACCUGGAGAGCACCCUGUCACCUGCAGACCAUUCCUUUGAUGCAAGACCACCCUGUCACCUGGAGACCACCUGCCUGUCACCUGGAGAGCACCCUGUCACCUGCAGACCAUUCCUUUGACUCAAGACCACCCUGUCACCUGGAGACCACCCGCCUGUCACCUGCAGACCAUUCAUUUGACAGGAGACCACCCACCUGUCACCUGGAGACCACCUGCCUGUCACCUGGAGAACAUGACCCUGUCACCUGGAGAUCACCUGCCUGUCACCUGCAGAACACCCACCUGUCACCUGGAGAGCACCCUGUCACCUGCAGACCAUUCCUUUGACACAAGACCACCCGCGUGUCACCUGGAGACCUCUCAUCUGACUGGAGACCAGCACCCUGUCACCUGCAGGUCUGUCCCCCCGCGUCUACUCUCUGCAUAGGAGCCGCGGCAGAGCCACCUGCCAGGGCCUCUGGCCCCCGGCCCCGGGAGCCCUCCCCUUGCCCUGGUUGGGGUUAGGCCGCCAGCAGAGGCUGGGCAGGUCCUGUGUCUCUCUGAGCCCCCAGCCCCGCCACUCCGCACUCGCGCCCCGCCAGCUGUCCUGGCAGGCCCCGCGCUCCCUGCGUCCGCCUGCGGGUCUCAGGCACCUCUCGGCCUGCACGGUGGCCGUCGGUGAUCACAGGGCUGCUCGGAGCCAGCGGCUCUUAGGGGAUGACCCAGGAACUCCUGAAGUCGCCAUCGGGCAGGUAAGACACAUAUUUGCAGUUUCUUGAGCUUUGCGUGUGGACAUGAAGGGCUCUUUGCAGUUUUUGAGGCCCCGCGGGUCAUUCCAGUGGAGCGACCCCCAUGUAGCUGAGGAGAC